rnacentral:rRNA from 1 species
CCCUCCUGGGAAGUCCUCGUGUUGCACCCCU